rnacentral:rRNA from 1 species
CAGUCGUACCUUCGGGUAAUCAGCCUUUCGGGUGCGAUUCUGUGGGAUGUGAAGAGUUUAACGCCUUCACGUCUUGCAUAUUCGUGCUCUUGGGUGUACUUGCCCGUGUGGUUGGUUAACAUCAAUUUUGGACGCCAUAAAAUGGCUGGGGGAAUGUUGCUUCGAUCUCGUAUUGAAGUGUUACAGCCUUCGGUAGAUGUGGUUUUCGAGAUUGAGGAUUGCAACGGAUACCCGUUCGGGGCUACCGUAUCCUGAUCUCUGAUCGUGCUCUGGUGCCGAAAGCUUGCUUACGUUAUCAAAGUCGAUGGUCAAUAGGUU